UAAUACGUAGGGGGCGAGCGUUGUCCGAAUUCACUGGGCGUAAAGCGCGCGUAGGCGGCUUGUUAAGUUGGAGGUGAAAUCCCGGGGCUCAACCCCGGAACUGCCCCCAAAACUGGCAGGCUUGAGGUAUGGAGAGGGAAGUGGAAUUCCAGGUGUAGCGGUGAAAUGCGUAGAUAUCUGGAGGAACACCCGUGGCGAAGGCGGCUUCCUGGUCAUAUCCUGACGCUGAGGUGCGAAAGCUAGGGGAGCGAACGGG
rnacentral:rRNA from 1 species